rnacentral:rRNA from 1 species
GACGAACGCUAGCUACAGGCUUAACACAUGCAAGUCGAGGGGCAGCAUGGUCUUAGCUUGCUAAGGCCGAUGGCGACCGGCGCACGGGUGAGUAACGCGUAUCCAACCUGCCUUACACUCUUGGACAGCCUUCUGAAAGGGAGAUUAAUACAAGAUGUUAUCAUGGGUAAGCAUUUUCGCAUGAUUAAAGGUUUACCGGUGUAAGAUGGGGAUGCGUUCCAUUAGAUAGUAGGCGGGGUAACGGCCCACCUAGUCUUCGAUGGAUAGGGGUUCUGAGAGGAAGGUCCCCCACAUUGGAACUGAGACACGGUCCAAACUCCUACGGGAGGCAGCAGUGAGGAAUAUUGGUCAAUGGACGAGAGUCUGAACCAGCCAAGUAGCGUGAAGGAUGAAGGUUCUAUGGAUUGUAAACUUCUUUUAUACGGGAAUAAACGGAUCCACGUGUGGAUUUUUGCAUGUACCGUAUGAAUAAGGAUCGGCUAACUCCGUGCCAGCAGCCGCGGUAAUACGGAGGAUCCGAGCGUUAUCCGGAUUUAUUGGGUUUAAAGGGAGCGUAGAUGGGUUGUUAAGUCAGUUGUGAAAGUUUGCGGCUCAACCGUAAAAUUGCAAUUGAUACUGGCAGUCUUGAGUACAGUUGAGGUAGGCGGAAUUCGUGGUGUAGCGGUGAAAUGCUUAGAUAUCACGAAGAACUCCGAUUGCGAAGGCAGCUUACUAACCUGUAACUGACAUUGAUGCUCGAAAGUGUGGGUAUCAAACAGG